GACGAACGCUGGCGGCGUGCCUAACACAUGCAAGUCGAACGGAGAUAUGAUUUCGGUUGUAUCUUAGUGGCGAACGGGUGAGUAACGCGUGAGCAACCUGACUCUUAGAGGGGGAUAACACUCGGAAACGGGUGCUAAUACCGCAUAAGACCACGACAUGGCAUCAUGACGAGGUCAAAGGAGCAAUCCGCUGAGAGAGGGGCUCGCGUCCCAUUAGAUAGAUGGCGGGGUAACGGCCCACCAUGUCAGCGAUGGGUAGCCGAGCUGAGAGGCUGAUCGGCCACACUGGAACUGAGACACGGUCCAGACUCCUACGGGAGGCAGCAGUGGGGAAUAUUGGGCAAUGGGCGCAAGCCUGACCCAGCAACGCCGCGUGAGGGAAGAAGGCUUUCGGGUUGUAAACCUCUGUCCUUGGUGACGAAAAAAAUGACGGUAGCCAAGGAGGAAGCCCCGGCUAACUACGUG
rnacentral:rRNA from 1 species